AUUGAACGCUGGCGGCAGGCCUAACACAUGCAAGUCGAGCGGAUGAAGGGAGCUUGCUCCUGGAUUCAGCGGCGGACGGGUGAGUAAUGCCUAGGAAUCUGCCUGGUAGUGGGGGAUAACGUCCGGAAACGGGCGCUAAUACCGCAUACGUCCUGAGGGAGAAAGUGGGAGAUCUUCGGACCUCACGCUAUCAGAUGAGCCUAGGUCGGAUUAGCUAGUUGGUGGGGUAAAGGCCUACCAAGGCGACGAUCCGUAACUGGUCUGAGAGGAUGAUCAGUCACACUGGAACUGAGACACGGUCCAGACUCCUACGGGAGGCAGCAGUGGGGAAUAUUGGACAAUGGGCGAAAGCCUGAUCCAGCCAUGCCGCGUGUGAAGAAGGUCUUCGGAUUGUAAAGCACUUUAAGUUGGGAGGAAGGGCAGUAAGUUAAUACCUUGCUGUUUUGACGUUACCAACAGAAUAAGCACCGGCUAACUUCGUG
rnacentral:rRNA from 1 species